rnacentral:rRNA from 1 species
AUUGAACGCUGGCGGCAGGCUUAACACAUGCAAGUCGAGCGGGGAAAGGUAGCUUGCUCCCUGACCUAGCGGCGGACGGGUGAGUAAUGCUUAGGAAUCUGCCCAUUAGUGGGGGACAACAUCUCGAAAGGGAUGCUAAUACCGCAUACGUCCUACGGGAGAAAGCAGGGGACCUUCGGGCCUUGCGCUAAUAGAUGAGCCUAAGUCGGAUUAGCUAGUUGGUGGGGUAAAGGCCUACCAAGGCGACGAUCUGUAGCGGGUCUGAGAGGAUGAUCCGCCACACUGGGACUGAGACACGGCCCAGACUCCUACGGGAGGCAGCAGUGGGGAAUAUUGGACAAUGGGGGGAACCCUGAUCCAGCCAUGCCGCGUGUGUGAAGAAGGCCUUUUGGUUGUAAAGCACUUUAAGCGAGGAGGAGGCUACCGAGAUUAAUACUCUUGGAUAGUGGACGUUACUCGCAGAAUAAGCACCGGCUAACUCUGUG